ACACUUGGGUUCAUCUUCAUGAGGUGUAAUGGCGCCGGGAUGCGCUCUCCUCUUCUCAUUUGCCAAUUUAUUGCAGAUCCCUCCUCAAAAAAGUUUUGGGACUAACUCAGCCCCAUGGAGAUCAAGGUGAAUUAGAAAAACAACAAAACAAAACAAGAUUCAUUUUAACAUCUCAUUUUUCUAUCUCCAACUUUCCCUCCCCUCCUCCCACCCCAGGAAGAAAAGACUACGUUUGUUUCUGGUGAUACAUUCAUUGUAGGUGGGUGGGUGACUUCUAGAAGAGGAAAAUCAAGAAGAUUUGGAGAAGGAGUCUUGGAAGCUCUGGUGAAGUUUUCCAAAACUGGGAAGGACAGAGUCUGCUCAGCCUGUGUUAGUGGAGAAGAGGGAAGGAAACUGGCUGGAGGCCGCUGGACCCACAGAGGACAAUAGACAAUCUCCUGCUGAUGCCCACUGGAUCCAAAGAGAGAAACUCUAUAGAAUUAUGAUCUAGGUUUGACUGACUCCUGGCAAGAAGCCCUACCCGCCAGCCAAUUUGGAUGAGGUCACAGGGGUCAUCCAUCUUUCCUUCUAUGUGACUGGUUUGCUCUUGCAUAUCAUGUUUUCCGCUCUUAUGCUCCAGAUCCAUCAUGAGAAGAACAUGCCCUGGAUUCCUGCUAUCCCUUUAGCCAUGGCUCCAAAAUUAACACACACAAGGAAGACCUGAGGUCAAUCCACAGCCUGGAUUCAAGUCACCUAAUACAUAGGAGAAUCAGAGCUACCCAGCCACACUCAAUCUACGUUAACUGAACCUCAGCUGACCUGCAGAUUUAUGAGUAUGAGAAUAAAGGCUUGUUAAUGUAUA
rnacentral:lncRNA from 1 species